GGGUUGUGAGGUUAAGCGACUAAGCGUACACGGUGGAUGCCCUGGCAGUCAGAGGCGAUGAAGGACGUGCUAAUCUGCGAUAAGCGUCGGUAAGGUGAUAUGAACCGUUAUAACCGGCGAUUUCCGAAUGGGGAAACCCAGUGUGUUUCGACACACUAUCAUUAACUGAAUCCAUAGGUUAAUGAGGCGAACCGGGGGAACUGAAACAUCUAAGUACCCCGAGGAAAAGAAAUCAACCGAGAUUCCCCCAGUAGCGGCGAGCGAACGGGGAGCAGCCCAGAGCCUGAAUCAGUGUGUGUGUUAGUGGAAGCGUCUGGAAAGGCGCGCGAUACAGGGUGACAGCCCCGUACACAAAAAUGCACAUGCUGUGAGCUCGAUGAGUAGGGCGGGACACGUGGUAUCCUGUCUGAAUAUGGGGGGACCAUCCUCCAAGGCUAAAUACUCCUGACUGACCGAUAGUGAACCAGUACCGUGAGGGAAAGGCGAAAAGAACCCCGGCGAGGGGAGUGAAAAAGAACCUGAAACCGUGUACGUACAAGCAGUGGGAGCCUCUUUAUGGGGUGACUGCGUACCUUUUGUAUAAUGGGUCAGCGACUUAUAUUCUGUAGCAAGGUUAACCGAAUAGGGGAGCCGAAGGGAAACCGAGUCUUAACUGGGCGUUAAGUUGCAGGGUAUAGACCCGAAACCCGGUGAUCUAGCCAUGGGCAGGUUGAAGGUUGGGUAACACUAACUGGAGGACCGAACCGACUAAUGUUGAAAAAUUAGCGGAUGACUUGUGGCUGGGGGUGAAAGGCCAAUCAAACCGGGAGAUAGCUGGUUCUCCCCGAAAGCUAUUUAGGUAGCGCCUCGUGAACUCAUCUCCGGGGGUAGAGCACUGUUUCGGCAAGGGGGUCAUCCCGACUUACCAACCCGAUGCAAACUGCGAAUACCGGAGAAUGUUAUCACGGGAGACACACGGCGGGUGCUAACGUCCGUCGUGAAGAGGGAAACAACCCAGACCGCCAGCUAAGGUCCCAAAGUCAUGGUUAAGUGGGAAACGAUGUGGGAAGGCCCAGACAGCCAGGAUGUUGGCUUAGAAGCAGCCAUCAUUUAAAGAAAGCGUAAUAGCUCACUGGUCGAGUCGGCCUGCGCGGAAGAUGUAACGGGGCUAAACCAUGCACCGAAGCUGCGGCAGCGACACUAUGUGUUGUUGGGUAGGGGAGCGUUCUGUAAGCCUGUGAAGGUGUACUGUGAGGUAUGCUGGAGGUAUCAGAAGUGCGAAUGCUGACAUAAGUAACGAUAAAGCGGGUGAAAAGCCCGCUCGCCGGAAGACCAAGGGUUCCUGUCCAACGUUAAUCGGGGCAGGGUGAGUCGACCCCUAAGGCGAGGCCGAAAGGCGUAGUCGAUGGGAAACAGGUUAAUAUUCCUGUACUUGGUGUUACUGCGAAGGGGGGACGGAGAAGGCUAUGUUGGCCGGGCGACGGUUGUCCCGGUUUAAGCGUGUAGGCUGGUUUUCCAGGCAAAUCCGGAAAAUCAAGGCUGAGGCGUGAUGACGAGGCACUACGGUGCUGAAGCAACAAAUGCCCUGCUUCCAGGAAAAGCCUCUAAGCAUCAGGUAACAUCAAAUCGUACCCCAAACCGACACAGGUGGUCAGGUAGAGAAUACCAAGGCGCUUGAGAGAACUCGGGUGAAGGAACUAGGCAAAAUGGUGCCGUAACUUCGGGAGAAGGCACGCUGAUAUGUAGGUGAAGUCCCUCGCGGAUGGAGCUGAAAUCAGUCGAAGAUACCAGCUGGCUGCAACUGUUUAUUAAAAACACAGCACUGUGCAAACACGAAAGUGGACGUAUACGGUGUGACGCCUGCCCGGUGCCGGAAGGUUAAUUGAUGGGGUCAGCGCAAGCGAAGCUCUUGAUCGAAGCCCCGGUAAACGGCGGCCGUAACUAUAACGGUCCUAAGGUAGCGAAAUUCCUUGUCGGGUAAGUUCCGACCUGCACGAAUGGCGUAAUGAUGGCCAGGCUGUCUCCACCCGAGACUCAGUGAAAUUGAACUCGCUGUGAAGAUGCAGUGUACCCGCGGCAAGACGGAAAGACCCCGUGAACCUUUACUAUAGCUUGACACUGAACAUUGAGCCUUGAUGUGUAGGAUAGGUGGGAGGCUUGGAAGUGUGGACGCCAGUCUGCAUGGAGCCGACCUUGAAAUACCACCCUUUAAUGUUUGAUGUUCUAACGUUGACCCGUAAUCCGGGUUGCGGACAGUGUCUGGUGGGUAGUUUGACUGGGGCGGUCUCCUCCUAAAGAGUAACGGAGGAGCACGAAGGUUGGCUAAUCCUGGUCGGACAUCAGGAGGUUAGUGCAAUGGCAUAAGCCAGCUUGACUGCGAGCGUGACGGCGCGAGCAGGUGCGAAAGCAGGUCAUAGUGAUCCGGUGGUUCUGAAUGGAAGGGCCAUCGCUCAACGGAUAAAAGGUACUCCGGGGAUAACAGGCUGAUACCGCCCAAGAGUUCAUAUCGACGGCGGUGUUUGGCACCUCGAUGUCGGCUCAUCACAUCCUGGGGCUGAAGUAGGUCCCAAGGGUAUGGCUGUUCGCCAUUUAAAGUGGUACGCGAGCUGGGUUUAGAACGUCGUGAGACAGUUCGGUCCCUAUCUGCCGUGGGCGCUGGAGAACUGAGGGGGGCUGCUCCUAGUACGAGAGGACCGGAGUGGACGCAUCACUGGUGUUCGGGUUGUCAUGCCAAUGGCACUGCCCGGUAGCUAAAUGCGGAAGAGAUAAGUGCUGAAAGCAUCUAAGCACGAAACUUGCCCCGAGAUGAGUUCUCCCUGACUCCUUGAGAGUCCUGAAGGAACGUUGAAGACGACGACGUUGAUAGGCCGGGUGUGUAAGCGCAGCGAUGCGUUGAGCUAACCGGUACUAAUGAGCCGUGAGGCUUAACCUUACAACGCCGAAG
rnacentral:rRNA from 1 species